rnacentral:rRNA from 1 species
GCCGCAUGGCAGGGGGUGGAAAGAUUUAUCGGUGCAGGAUGGGCCCGCGUCGGAUUAACUGGUUGGCAGGGUAACGGCCUACCAAGGUGAUGAUCCGUAGCCGACCUGAGAGGGUGACCGGCCACAUUGGGACUGAGACACGGCCCAAACUCCUACGGGAGGCAGCAGUGGGGGAUAUUGCUCAAGGGGCGGAAGCCUGAUGCAGCGACGCCGCGUGAAUUAAAAGGUAUUUCGGUAUGUAAACUUCUAUCAGCG